rnacentral:lncRNA from 1 species
CUGCAUUAAAAGCUGAAGCUGAUUUCAGAUGUGAAUCUUUUCUCAUCAAACGGAGCUGUGAUGAUCCUCAGCAGGUUGAGCAGCUGAACGUCUGUUUGCAGCCAUGGGGAAUCUGAACAACUGUCUGCUCAGGAAAUCUGCUUGUAAAGAGAUGGGAAAAGACCUGGAUGCUAUUGACCAGAUGUUUCUGUCGUCCAGAGUUAAACGCUGUGUGAUGAUGAUGAAGACCUCGACCUUCCUCAGGUUUGCAGUGGACAACUGUCGGGAUGAAGCUGCUCGACAGUGGUUCGGACGCAACUCUGAGUCGUUCUCCCAACUCACAGACGUCUACCUGUUCCUGAAGAAACGCAUCGACGAGGAGGAAGCGAAGAAUCACAGCAGCAACGUCCACAUCGUCUUAGUGUCUCAUGGAGAAACCAGAGACUCCAUGAUCCCAGCCAGCUGCCUGCUGCCUCUGUCCAACAUCACAGACGUGCUCCUGGAGUCUCCCAGGACUCACUGGACCUCAGUGAGGAAAGCUGGAGACCAGAUGAUUCCCAACAUCGUGCUCAGGCCUCUUAAACCAUCAGAGAACAUUGAAACCCACAGUCAGCCAGGAAGAAACUGCAUCAUCAUCCCGUUCAUCCUCCCAGGACAGAGCAGAGACCGUGUCCCGCUCUCCGUGGUCACCUUGGGCCUGGCUCUGGUUCUCCUCUCCUCCAGGUUUAAAGCCACCGUCCGUCUCUGUGCCUGUCUGACUGAAGCCUCUGCUGGACAGAGGUUGCAUGGGGAGGGCGAUGUGUUCUCCAGACGCUGGACAAAUGUCCUGAAACAUUUCAUGGUCAAACAUCGUCCACGCGUCUGCCUGUGAUGGUGAAUCCGUCAUGAUUUGAUUAUUCUCAGGACUAUGGACAAACUAAGUUAUUUUUUGUACAUAAUAAAUUCAGUGUAUAUAUAAAGUUUUUUAACAAAACCCACAUUUGGAGCCUUUAUAUGAAAUUAAUUUAUGAAAUACGUGU